ensembl:lncRNA
CUCUCCCUGUUCGGGUGGUGCUCGGCGCACGGCGUCGCCGGCCUACUAGCCAUCACCGAUCCUUUUUUCCUUUUCCGUUUGUUUUGUCUUUGGUUCUUUCACACCUGGUUUCAUUUGCUUUAAUUUCUGUGUGUAUAAUUACCCCUGUUGCCUGCUAAGGUUUGUGCGACAUUAUUCGUGUCAUGUUUCUUGUCGAGGUUGUGCCUUGUUUAUUUUCACGUUUUAUACCGAGUGUGUAUCAGUUUAAGGAGCGUUGUUUUCCUCCUUCCGUGAGUAAUUGGUUUUUAUUUUUUGUCGAGAGCGUUUAUUUUGGUAUUUGUACCUGACCUACAUGUUUGUGGACUUGCCUAUUAAAAAGAAAUGCUACUCGGAACAUCUCUGCUUUCCUGCGCUUGACUCCUUCACCUACCUCUAAACACAGUCUCGUAACAACCGUGUCAUUUUAGAAGAGAAGACAUCACUUGGCGCAGAGUCAGCAGAGUCCACACCGCUGUUCAACCCGACUUGCUUACCUCAAUUAUUCACAUCUUAUGAAUAACGCACAUUACCAGAGAUGGCGACAGGGAUAUUUUU